rnacentral:tRNA from 1 species
GUUGCUGUAGCUUAAAGAGAGUGAGGCUUUGAAGAUGCUAAGGUGAUAAUUCCAGUAAUG